AUUGAACGCUGGCGGCAUGCCUUACACAUGCAAGUCGAACGGUAACGGGCCUUCGGGUGCCGACGAGUGGCGAACGGGUGAGUAAUGUAUCGGAACGUACCUUUCAGUGGGGGAUAACGUAGCGAAAGUUACGCUAAUACCGCAUAUUCUGUGAGCAGGAAAGCAGGGGAUCGCAAGACCUUGCGCUGAUUGAGCGGCCGAUAUCAGAUUAGCUAGUUGGUGAGGUAAAGGCUCACCAAGGCGACGAUCUGUAGCGGGUCUGAGAGGAUGAUUCGCCUCACUGGAACUGAGACACGGUCCAGACUCCUACGGGAGGCAGCAGUGGUGAAUUUUGGACAAUGGGGGCAACCCUGAUCCAGCCAUGCCGCGUGAGUGAAGAAGGCCUUCGGGUUGUAAAGCUCUUUCGGCCGGGAAGAAAUCGUAUCAGCUAAUACCUGGUGCGGAUGACGGUACCGGCAUAAGAAGCACCGGCUAACUACGUGCCAGCCGCCGCCGUAACAC
rnacentral:rRNA from 1 species